rnacentral:rRNA from 1 species
CUGGAGGUAUCAGAAGUGCGAAUGCUGACAUAAGUAACGAUAAAGCGGGUGAAAAGCCCGCUCGCCGGAAGACCAAGGGUUCCUGUCCAACGUUAAUCGGGGCAGGGUGAGUCGACCCCUAAGGCGAGGCCGAAAGGCGUAGUCGAUGGGAAACAGGUUAAUAUUCCUGUACUUGGUGUUACUGCGAAGGGGGGACGGAGAAGGCUAUGUUGGCCGGGCGACGGUUGUCCCGGUUUAAGCGUGUAGGCUGGUUUUCCAGGCAAAUCCGGAAAAUCAAGGCUGAGGCGUGAUGACGAGGCACUACGGUGCUGAAGCAACAAAUGCCCUGCUUCCAGGAAAAGCCUCUAAGCAUCAGGUAACAUCAAAUCGUACCCCAAACCGACACAGGUGGUCAGGUAGAGAAUACCAAGGCGCUUGAGAGAACUCGGGUGAAGGAACUAGGCAAAAUGGUGCCGUAACUUCGGGAGAAGGCACGCUGAUAUGUAGGUGAAGUCCCUCGCGGAUGGAGCUGAAAUCAGUCGAAGAUACCAGCUGGCUGCAACUGUUUAUUAAAAACACAGCACUGUGCAAACACGAAAGUGGACGUAUACGGUGUGACGCCUGCCCGGUGCCGGAAGGUUAAUUGAUGGGGUCAGCGCAAGCGAAGCUCUUGAUCGAAGCCCCGGUAAACGGCGGCCGUAACUAUAACGGUCCUAAGGUAGCGAAAUUCCUUGUCGGGUAAGUUCCGACCUGCACGAAUGGCGUAAUGAUGGCCAGGCUGUCUCCACCCGAGACUCAGUGAAAUUGAACUCGCUGUGAAGAUGCAGUGUACCCGCGGCAAGACGGAAAGACCCCGUGAACCUUUACUAUAGCUUGACACUGAACAUUGAGCCUUGAUGUGUAGGAUAGGUGGGAGGCUUUGAAGUGUGGACGCCAGUCUGCAUGGAGCCGGCCUUGAAAUACCACCCUUUAAUGUUUGAUGUUCUAACGUUGACCCGUGAUCCGGGUUGCGGACAGUGUCUGGUGGGUAGUUUGACUGGGGCGGUCUCCUCCUAAAGAGUAACGGAGGAGCACGAAGGUUGGCUAAUCCUGGUCGGACAUCAGGAGGUUAGUGCAAUGGCAUAAGCCAGCUUGACUGCGAGCGUGACGGCGCGAGCAGGUGCGAAAGCAGGUCAUAGUGAUCCGGUGGUUCUGAAUGGAAGGGCCAUCGCUCAACGGAUAAAAGGUACUCCGGGGAUAACAGGCUGAUACCGCCCAAGAGUUCAUAUCGACGGCGGUGUUUGGCACCUCGAUGUCGGCUCAUCACAUCCUGGGGCUGAAGUAGGUCCCAAGGGUAUGGCUGUUCGCCAUUUAAAGUGGUACGCGAGCUGGGUUUAGAACGUCGUGAGACAGUUCGGUCCCUA